rnacentral:rRNA from 1 species
CAUGGGCCCAGCCUGUCGAGCCUGCCGGGUGAGUGAUGAACGCCUUACGGUUGUAAAGCUGGGCACGCGGGGAAGAUAAUGACCCUAACCGGAGAAGAAGCGGCGGCUAACUUCGUGCCAGCAGCCGCGUGUAAUAUUU